rnacentral:rRNA from 1 species
GACGAACGCUGGCGGCGUGCUUAACACAUGCAAGUCGAACGCUUACUCUUGGUUCUUGCACUGGGUGGUUAAGUGCCGAACGGGUGAGUACUACUUGUUUAACCUGCCCUUGACUCUGUGAUAAUCCUGGCAAACUGGGUCUAUUACUGGAUACUACAUGCCACUGCAUUGUGGUGUGUGUAAAGGGUUUUACUGGUUUUGGAUUGGCUUACGGCCUCUCCGCUUGUUGGUGGGGUAAUGGCCUACCAAGGCGACGACGGGUAGCCGGCCUGGGCGGGGGACAGGCCAAACUGGAACUGAGACACGGCACAGACUACUACGGGAGGGAGCAGUGGGGAAUAGUGAACAAGGGGAGGAAGGCAGAUGCAGCGAAGCCACGUGAGGGAUGAAGGCCUGGGGGUUGGAAAGCACAGUCAGCACGGAAGAAGAGAGAGUGACGGUACGUGGAGAAGAAGCGCCGGCUAACUACGUG